rnacentral:tRNA from 1 species
GGGGGUGUAGUCUAGUGGUUAUGAUUUCUGCUUUGCAAGCUCCUUCCGAGCUUAGAAUUGCAGAGGGUCCCGUGUUCAAAUCAUGGCGCCUCCA